rnacentral:rRNA from 1 species
CCUACGGGUGGCAGCAGUGAGGAAUAUUGGUCAAUGGACGAGAGUCUGAACCAGCCAAGUAGCGUGAAGGAUGACUGCCCUAUGGGUUGUAAACUUCUUUUGUAUGGGAAUAAAAUGAUCCACGUGUGGGAGUUUGUAUGUACCAUAUGAAUAAGGAUCGGCUAACUCCGUGCCAGCAGCCGCGGUAAUACGGAGGAUCCGAGCGUUAUCCGGAUUUAUUGGGUUUAAAGGGUGCGUAGGUGGGUUGUUAAGUCAGUUGUGAAAGUUUGCGGCUCAACCGUAAAAUGGCCGUUGAAACUGGCAGUCUUGAGUAGAGGAGAGGUGUGCGGAAUGCGUGGUGUAGCGGUGAAAUGCUUAGAUAUCACGCAGAACUCCGAUUGCGAAGGCAGCUCACUGGCGGGCAACUGACACUGAGGCACGAAAGUGUGGGUAUCGAACAGGAUUAGAUACCCUAGUAGUC